rfam:Lactococcus lactis plasmid pIL105, complete sequence.
UAUAAAUACGCUCCUUUGUGUGUUUUAGUAGUAGCAUAGAGAAAGUCAUUUCGUAGUGAGUUUUCUCUAUGCUUUUAUUAUACUA